UUCGCCAGGGGACUACGAGCAAUAGCUUAAAACCCAAAGGACUUGGCGGUGCCCUAUACCACCUAGAGGAGCCUGUUCCAUAAUCGAUAAUCCACGAUACACCUCACCGCUUCUUGCCAAAACCGCCUAUAUACCGCCGUCGUCAACUUACCCCUUGAGGGCUACAUAGUAAGUUUAAGGGUAUUCACCAAAACGUCAGGUCAAGGUGUAGCGAAUGAAGCGGGAAGAAAUGGGCUACAUUUUCUAUAUUAGAUUACACGGACUACCAAUAUGAAACUUGGUUGCAAAGGAGGAUUUAGCAGUAAAAAGAAAUCAUCAAGUUCUUUUUAACACGGUCCUAGGGCGCGCACACACCGCCCGUCGCCCUCUUCGACUCUUUAAAAUUAAUUCAUAAUAAAUUAAAUAUGAAAUUAGAAGAGGUAAGUCGUAACAUGGUAAGUAUACCGGAAGGUGUACUUGG
rnacentral:rRNA from 1 species